UGCUGAGCCAUCUCUCCAGCCCUUUAAAUGUAAUUUAAAAAAUGUAUUUGAGGGCCUGGAGAGAUGGCUCAGCAGU
rnacentral:miRNA from 1 species